UGUUUUCACCUGUGUAUAAUUGGUUUAUUCUUCACCUGUAUUCAAGUUGUUUGCUUCACUCAAUGCUGGUUCAUUGUUUCUAAGGUCCAUGUCUCGAGUUUUUCCACAUUUUGGAUUACCUGUUUUAAUGUUUCAUGUUUUUUGAUGUUACCUUCCAAGGACCAUUUUCAGUUGCUGCUCCCUGUUUGUGGACUUGGAGUUGACGAAGAUGUGGGAGAGUGCCAGAAAUGUCAUUUAUUGGAAAGCUAUUGUUUCUUUGGCACGGGAAAUGGCUUUUUCGGACCCCUGGCUAAUAGACUCACUGCCAAGCCAGGCCACAAGCUUUUUCCUCACCUCAGCUCCUCAGUUGGCUAGCCACCUGCCUGUUUCCCGGCCCACUGGCCUUGAGCUCCGGCGUCCUAGUCUCCACAUGCCUGAUUCCUGCUAGCCUCCUGGUUGGUAGCCUUUUUCUGUCUGCCCCUGUUCCGGCUAGUGCCUCGGCAGCUAGCCUCCUGCCUGCCUGCGUCUGUUCCCCCUCCUGUGAAGUCGUCUGCAGGGCGACGUGGACGCAGUCGCCGCCGCCGCCGUGUCUCACCGCACUCAAGAUCUGCUGAGCCUCCGCUCCCCAGCUCCGCUGAGCCUCCUGUGAGGUCAUCUGGAGGGCAAGGCAGACGCGUUUGCUGCCGCCGCCGUGUCUCACCAUCCAGGACAAGGAUUCUAGAACUCUGCUGUAUGGAUCUACUACAGACCACUACUUCGGUCUACAGUCUACUUCACACCAUUAAAGUCUAUGGGCCUUUCUCAAUCUGCAUUCUUGUCUGUACUUGUGUUCUUGUGUCCUUGUGAAACAUCUGUGGUGGCCCAAGUACAGUCCUAAUACACAAGUUCACAUUUUGCCAUAAGCAUUUAAAAUUUACUUAAGUGUUAUUUUACCGAGGACGAUCGGCUGGUUACUUGUGUGAACUUGCCAGCACAAAUAUCCCAGCAGUCAUUUAUGUAUUUGAGCAAGGAGUUGGAAGCAGAGAAAGGCCAACACAACACUCCACAGUGCCUGCGGGGGUAGCUAGCCAGCAGGCCAGUCAGGCUCACAGAGCCCUUCACAGUCUCACAGACCACUGCAGAAGACGACCGCAGAGCAACAGUGGCAUAUGAAAGCCUGGCCCACAACUGUAAGACAAUUUAAAUUUUCGUACCACUGUUAUUGUGUCAAUCCAUUCUGAAUAACGUUUUAAUAUUUUUAUUUGAGCAAGGAGUGGGAAACAGAAAGACCAACACAACAGUAUGUUUUUGUUUUUUGUUUUCAGUUUUUGUAUGCUGUUUAAUCACUAAAUUCACUUGGCGAGAAAUAAACUUUUUUUGAGCGGCCACUUUA